rnacentral:rRNA from 1 species
GAGUUUGAUCGUGGCUCAGAUUGAACGCUGGCGGCAGGCCUAACACAUGCAAGUCGAGCGGAUGAAGGGAGCUUGCUCCUGGAUUCAGCGGUGGACGGGUGAGUAAUGCCUAGGAAUCUGCCUGGUAGUGGGGAUAACGUCCGGAAACGGGCGCUAAUACCGCAUACGUCCUGAGAGAGAAAGUGGGGGAUCUUCGGACCUCACGCUAUCAGAUGAGCCUAGGUCGGAUUAGCUAGUUGGUGGGUAAAGGCCUACCAAGGCGACGAUCCGUAACUGGUCUGAGAGGAUGAUCAGUCACACUGGAACUGAGACACGGUCCAGACUCCUACGGGAGGCAGCAGUGGGGAAUAUUGGACAAUGGGCGAAAGCCUGAUCCAGCCAUGCCGCGUGUGUGAAGAAGGUCUUCGGAUUGUAAAGCACUUUAAGUUGGGAGGAAGGGCAGUAAGUUAAUACCUUGCUGUUUUGACGUUACCAACAGAAUAAGCACCGGCUAACUUCGUGCCAGCCGCCGCGGU